CCUACGGGUGGCAGCAGUGAGGAAUAUUGGUCAAUGGACGAGAGUCUGAACCAGCCAAGUAGCGUGAAGGAUGACUGCCCAGUGGAUUGUAAACUUCUUUUAUCAAUGAAUAAAACGUGGCACGUGUGCCUUUUUGCGUGUACUUUAUGAAUAAGCAUCGGCUAACUCCGUGCCAGCAGCCGCGGUAAUACGGAGGAUCCGAGCGUUAUCCGGAUUUAUUGGGUUUAAAGGGUGCGUAGGUGGUUUGUUAAGUCAGUUGUGAAAGUUUGCGGCUCAACCGCAAAAUUGCAAUUGAUACUGGCAGUCUUGAGUAGAGUUGAGGUAUGCGGAAUGCGCGGUGUAGCGGUGAAAUGCUUAGAUAUCGCGAAGAACCCCGAUUGCGAAGGCAGCUUACUAACCUGUGACUGACAUUGAUGCUCGAAAGUGUGGGUAUCAAACAGGAUUAGAUACCCCGGUAGUC
rnacentral:rRNA from 1 species